rnacentral:rRNA from 1 species
GACGAACGCUGGCGGCGUGCUUAACACAUGCAAGUCGAACGAAGUGGAGAACGGGUGAGUAACGCGUAAUCAACAUGCCCUUCAGAGGGGGACAACAGUUGGAAAAGACUGCUAAUACCGCAUAAUGAAGGAGGGGAUUGCGUCGGAUUGGUUAGUUGGAGGGGUAACGGCCCACCAAGGCGUUGAUCAGUAGCCGGUCUGAGAGGAUGAACGGACCCAUUGGGACCUGUGCACGGCCCAGACUCCUACGGGAGGCAGCAGUGGGGAAUCUUCCGCAAGGGACGAAAGUCUGACGGGGCAACGCCGCGUGAGUGAUGACGGCCUUCGGGUUGUAAAGCUCUGUUAAUCGGGACGCGGUACCGGAAUAGAAAGCCACGGCUAACUACGUGCCAGCAGCCGCGGUAAUUC